UUAAUAUGACAUUCAGAACAAGCAGUGGAAUCAUCAAUUUCAUAGCCCAAUGCUCGAAAGUUUCAUCCCAAUGUCAUCAAAACUGUUCACCCAAAAAAUAUCAACAAAAUCUCUUCAAAUUUUUUUACUUUGUUUAAUCCUUUCACUGAUAGAUUACCUGACAGCAGCUACUCUGGGAAUAUUGCUACCCUUGCUGUGACCAUUAAAUUUACUCCCCAUUGUUUGAAUCAAAGUAAUUGUCCUUAUAAAUAUGUCCUGAAAGUUGAUGAAACAGAGUACAUGUACAUGUACAUAGUUUAUGUUCAAAAUGUUAAGCUUGGGCAGUGAUUUUCCUGGUGUUUAGGGGAAGGGUCCUGGGGCCCAUGCAAUUGGGAAAACAAGAGUGCACACGCUGAAAUGUCUCGCCUUCUAUACUAAUCAUUGAUAUUAUGUUGAUUGUCCUAAGUGUAAAGCUAAACUUUAUUACAACUGUCACAUAAACUUAACAUUAACCAAGAUAACUAAACAAAGACCAAUGAACCUUGAAAAUGAGGUCCAGGUCAGAUGAACCAUGCCAGGCAGACAGGUACAGCUAACAAUGCUUCUAUACAACAUAUAUAGUUGACUUUAAGAAAAAUAGACCAAAACACAAAAACUUAACACUGUGCAAUGAACCGUGAAAAUGAGGUCACGGUUAAAUAAAACCUGC
rnacentral:lncRNA from 1 species